rnacentral:rRNA from 1 species
UCAUGGUUAAGUGGGAAACGAUGUGGGAAGGCCCAGACAGCCAGGAUGUUGGCUUAGAAGCAGCCAUCAUUUAAAGAAAGCGUAAUAGCUCACUGGUCGAGUCGGCCUGCGCGGAAGAUGUAACGGGGCUAAACCAUGCACCGAAGCUGCGGCAGCGACGCUGAUGCGUUGUUGGGUAGGGGAGCGUUCUGUAAGCCUGUGAAGGUGGCCUGUGAGGGUUGCUGGAGGUAUCAGAAGUGCGAAUGCUGACAUAAGUAACGAUAAAGCGGGUGAAAAGCCCGCUCGCCGGAAGACCAAGGGUUCCUGUCCAACGUUAAUCGGGGCAGGGUGAGUCGACCCCUAAGGCGAGGCCGAAAGGCGUAGUCGAUGGGAAACGGGUUAAUAUUCCCGUACUUGGUGUUACUGCGAAGGGGGGACGGAGAAGGCUAUGUUGGCCGGGCGACGGUUGUCCCGGUUUAAGCGUGUAGGUGUGUGUUCCAGGUAAAUCCGGUUCACUUUAACACUGAGGCGUGAUGACGAGGCACUACGGUGCUGAAGCAACAAAUGCCCUGCUUCCAGGAAAAGCCUCUAAGCAUCAGGUAACAUCAAAUCGUACCCCAAACCGACACAGGUGGUCAGGUAGAGAAUACCAAGGCGCUUGAGAGAACUCGGGUGAAGGAACUAGGCAAAAUGGUGCCGUAACUUCGGGAGAAGGCACGCUGACAC